AGUGGCGGACGGGUGAGUAACGCGUAGGAAUCUGCCUUGAAGAGGGGGACAACCCGAGGAAACUCGGGCUAAUACCGCAUGAAGUCGAGAGACCAAAGGCUGGGGUAACCUGGCGCUUUAAGAGGAGCCUGCGUCUGAUUAGCUAGUUGGUGGGGUAAAGGCCUACCAAGGCGAUGAUCGGUAGCUGGUCUGAGAGGACGAUCAGCCACACUGGGACUGAGACACGGCCCAGACUCCUACGGGAGGCAGCAGUGGGGAAUAUUGGACAAUGGGGGCAACCCUGAUCCAGCAAUGCCGCGUGUGUGAAGAAGGCCUUAGGGUUGUAAAGCACUUUAGGCUGGGAAGAAGGUGAGUAGUUUAAGAGAUGACUCAUUUGACGGUACCGGCAGAAUAAGCACCGGCUAACUCUGUGCCAGCAGCCGCGGUAAUACAGAGGGUGCGAGCGUUAAUCGGAAUUACUGGGCGUAAAGGGCGCGUAGGUGGUUUAUUAAGAUUGAUGUGAAAUCCCUGGGCUUAACCCAGGAACGGCAUCGAUGACUGAUGAGCUAGAGUAUUGUAGAGGGUAGUGGAAUUUCCGGUGUAGCGGUGAGAUGCGUAGAGAUCGGAAGGAACAUCAGUGGCGAAGGCGACUACCUGGACAGAUACUGACACUGAGGCGCGAGAGCGUGGGUAGCAAACAGGAUUAGAUACCCUGGUAGUC
rnacentral:rRNA from 1 species